GACGAACGCUGGCGGCGUGCUUAACACAUGCAAGUCGAACGGAAAGGCCUCAGCUUGCUGGGGUACUCGAGUGGCGAACGGGUGAGUAACACGUGGGUGAUCUGCCUUGCACUCUGGGAUAAGCUCAGGAAACUGGGUCUAAUACCGGAUAUGAACUGCCGCUAGUGUGGUGGUGGGAAAGAUUUUCCGGUGCAAGAUGGGCUCGCGCGCUUUCAGAUUGUUGGUGGGGUAAUGGCCUACCAAGGCGUCGGCGGGUAGACGGGCUGUGAGGGGGUACGGGCACAUUUGGACUGGGAUUCGGGCCAGACUCCUACGGGGGGCAGGAGGGGGGAAUAUUGCACAAUGGGCGGGAGCCUGAUGCAGCGACGCCGCGGGGGGGAUGACGGCCUUCGGGUUGUAAACUCCUUUCGGCAUGGACGAAGGUGUUUGUGACGGUACCUGUAUAAGAAGCACCGGCUAACUACGUG
rnacentral:rRNA from 1 species